GACGAACGCUGGCGGCGUGCCUAAUACAUGCAAGUAGAACGCAGUUGCGAACGGGUGAGUAACGCGUAGGUGACUGCCUGGUAGCGGGGGAUAACUAUUGGAAACGAUAGCUAAUACCGCAUCCUACCAUAUGGACCUGCGGUGGAUUAGCUAGUUGGUGGGGUAACGGCGUACCACGGCAACGAUACAUAGCCGAACUGAGAGGGUGAGUGGCCACACUGGGACGGAGACACGGCCCAGACUCCUACGGGAGGCAGCAGGAGGGAAUCGUCGGCAAUGGGCGGAAGUCUGACCGGGCAACGCCGCGUGAGUGAAGAAGGGUUUCGGAUCGGAAAGCUCUGUUGUAAGAGAAGCGGUAUCUUACCAGAAAGGGACGGCUAACUACGUGCCAGCAGCCGCGGUAAUUC
rnacentral:rRNA from 1 species